AUUUUAACUAGGAGUAGUAGUAUAAUUUUUUAUUAGGCAAAUCAGAAAUAAAAUCUGCUCCUCUUCACGCUACUUUUUAUAGUUCGAUUCUCCGUUGCAGAAAAAAAAAUUUGGUUCAAUUCAAAGUAUAUGUUCUUCGAUUUCAAUUGUAGAUAAAAAAUUGGUUUGAUUUCACAACUUUUCACGUCGUCUUCUUGUUCUUCGAUUUCAAUUGUAGACUGAAAUCGGUUCAAUUCUGAGUUUCUGUUCUUUGAUUUAAUUGUACAAAGAAAUUGGUUCAAUUUCACAACUCUUCACACCUUCUUCUUGUUCUUCGAUUUUCCAUUGCAGAUGGAAAUUCGUUCAAUUCAGAGUUUUCGCAAUCAUUCACGGCCUCUUGUAGUUUCCACGAAUCAGAUGCAUUUGUAAGAUUAAACAGAAACUCUACAAUGAUAUAGUGAAGUUUCUUUUCACAACUGUAAGCAUUGGAAGACCAUUUCAGAGUAAUGCAAGAUUGGUGUGUGCGGAUAUUUUUACAGCAAAACAUCUUGCUGAUUGUUGAAAAUGGACAAGUCCAUAGCACUAUGUGGCCUUAUUCGAGAAGAAGUUAAUUUGAAUAAUCCAUCGAAUCCUCAUUCAUUACAACAUCAACUCCACCAUCAGUUUUAUCAAGGAGAACAACACUGCAACUAUCCUUAUGCCUACAUUGGCUCCACAAGCCAAGGUUUGCUAAACUGUUUCUGCCAUCUUGAUGCAUGAAACAUGAUAGGUUAUUCAUAAUGAAAGUAUCACAAAGGCAUUAAAAAUUAUAAGUUCAUUUUGUUAGUCAGGGUUGGGGCCAUAAAUAUAGUUAUAUGGGUAGAGGUUAUAAACUAUUCAAUUGUUUCUCGGCUAUUAGAUUUGGGUAUUGUAAUGGUGUAUGAGUUUCUGCUUAUAAUUGUAAUCUUGAGAUAUUUGUAGUUGUGGCUCUUCUAAUCAUCCUUCAACUUGAUCCAAUAUUUUCCCUAUGUUCUAAUAGGAUAUCCUGAUAACUUUACUCGACUGAUAUAAAGACUUUUCUAACUCCCUAACUCCCCUGUGAUUUGUCUUCUUGAUUUUGUGAACUCUUGUUUUCUAUUUGUGUGUGUGGGGUGGAGUGGGGAAUUGUGUGCAUGAAAUGGAAUGGAAUGGUCAUUCCUUAGCUAAAUUGAAGGAAUGACUAUUUUCAUGUGGAAUGGAAUGGUGAUUCCAAAUGGAAUGGUGAUUACUAAGGAAGAAAAAUGCCAAGCAAAGGAAAGCAAAGGAAUGGAGGUAGGAACGUCAUUCCAUUCCACCAUACCAAGU